rnacentral:rRNA from 1 species
UGAGGAAUAUUGGUCAAUGGGCGGAAGCCUGAACCAGCCAAGUCGCGUGAGGGAAGACGGCCCUACGGGUUGUAAACCUCUUUUGUCGGGGAGCAAAUUGGCCCUGCGGGGCCAGGCGAGAGUACCCGAAGAAAAAGCAUCGGCUAACUCCGUGCCAGCAGCCGCGGUAAUACGGAGGAUGCGAGCGUUAUCCGGAUUCAUUGGGUUUAAAGGGUGCGUAGGCGGGGGCCUAAGUCAGCGGUAAAAUGUCGGCGCUCAACGCCGGCCGGCCGUUGAAACUGGGUCCCUUGAGUGGGCGAGAGGUAGGCGGAAUGCGCGGUGUAGCGGUGAAAUGCAUAGAUAUCGCGCAGAACGCCGAUUGCGAAGGCAGCCUGCCGGCGCCCGACUGACGCUGAAGCACGAAAGCGUGGGUAUCGAACAGG